rnacentral:rRNA from 1 species
AUGGCGCAAGAUAAUACCAAAUUGUGUGAUUUCUCCAAUACAAAUAAUUAUGAUUUCCUUAGUACUCCGAUUGCUCCUCUUAAUGAUGUUGAGUCUUGUGAAAUCAAUGUUGCUUUGCUGAAUCUUGUUAUGAAAGAUCAAUUCUCCGACCUUCCUAGUGAAGAUGCCGCUACCCAUCUAAACAACUUUGUUGAUUUGGGUGAGAUGCAAAAGAAAAAAGAUGCGGCUAAUGAUAUUGUUAAAUUGAAGUUAUUUCCGUUUUCACUUAGAGAUCGUGCUAAAGUUUGGUUUUCGUCUUUGCCUAAAAAUAGUAUUGAUUCUUGGAACAAGUGCAAAGAUGCUUUUAUCUCUAAGUAUUUUCCUCCCGCUAAGAUCAUCCCUCUUAGGAACGAUAUUAUGAAUUUUAAACAACUUGAUCAUGAGCAUGUUUCCCAAUCUUGGGAAAGAAUGAAAUUGAUGAUUCGCAAUUGCCCUACUCAUGGUUUGAAUUUAUGGAUGAUCAUACAAAAAAUUUAUGCCGGAUUGAAUUUUGCUUCUAGAAAUCUUUUAGAUUCGGCCGCUGGAGGCACGUUUAUGGAAAUCACUUUAGGAGAUGCUACAAAACUUCUUGAUAAUAUUAUGGCUAAUUAUUCUCAAUGGCAUACCGAACGAUCUACUAGUAAAAAAGUGCAUGCUAUAGAAGAAAUUAAGGUUUUGAGUGGAAAGAUGGAUGAGCUUAUGAGAUUGUUUGCUACUAAGAGUUCUUCUAUUGAUACCAAUGAUAUGCAUUUAUCUACCUUGAUUGAGAAUAAUAAUGAAUCUAUGGAUGUAAAUUUUGUUGGUAGGAAUAAUUUUGGAAACAAUGCUUAUAGAGGAAACUUUAAUCCUAGACCGUUCCCUAGCAAUUCCUCUAAUAAUUAUGGAAAUUCCUACAAUAACUCUUAUGGUAAUUUUAAUAAGAUGCCCUAUGAUUUAGAAAAUAGUGUGAAAGAAUUUAUGGUCUCUCAAAAGAAUUUUAAUGCUUUGCUUGAAGAAAAAUUGCUCAAAGUUGAUGAUUUGGCUAGGAACGUUGAUAGACUUUCGCUUGAUGUUGAUUCUCUUAAAACUUAG